UGCUGCAUGGCUGUCGUCAGCUCGUGUCGUGAGAUGUUGGGUUAAGUCCCGCAACGAGCGCAACCCUUGUCCUUAGUUGCCACCAUUCAGUUGGGCACUCUAAGGAGACUGCCGGUGUUAAACCGGAGGAAGGUGGGGAUGACGUCAAGUCCUCAUGGCCUUCAUGCUUAGGGCUACACACGUGCUACAAUGGGUGGUACAAAGAGAAGCCAACUCGCGAGAGCGCGCCAAUCUCAAAAAGCCAUCCUCAGUUCGGAUUGGAGUCUGCAACUCGACUCCAUGAAGUUGGAAUCGCUAGUAAUCGCGGAUCAGCAUGCCGCGGUGAAUACGUUCUCGGGGUUU
rnacentral:rRNA from 1 species